rnacentral:lncRNA from 1 species
UCGGUCGGGGCGACCAACUGACGGAUGCCAUCACCGGCCAUUCAACAACCCAUCGCCGACUGGGGAUAUGUCGGGCGUAUCCAUCCCGACCGACUGAACCCAGUGGACUGAUGGCCGACUCACAUGAUGCUCGCCGACCAAUGGAGGGGCCCGACACCACUCAGCUAGCUACCGACUUUGGGUCGGUCGGCUCCUCCAACCAC